rnacentral:SRP_RNA from 1 species
GAGCAGGAAGGCAGCAGCGACACGGGAAGCCUCGUCAUGGGCAUGUCC